rnacentral:rRNA from 1 species
UGGGGAAUAUUGCGCAAUGGGGGAAACCCUGACGCAGCGACGCCGCGUGUGGGAUGAAGGUCUUCGGAUUGUAAACCACUGUCGCGAGGGACGAAGCUCUGACGGUACCUCGAAAGGAAGCACCGGCUAACUCUGUGCCAGCAGCCGCGGUAAUACAGAGGGUGCGAGCGUUGUCCGGAAUCACUGGGCGUAAAGGGCGCGUAGGCGGCCCGGUAAGUAGGGGGUGAAAUCUCUGGGCUUAACCCAGAACGGCCAAGUGAUACUGUCGCGCUAGAGUGCAGAAGGGGCAAUCGGAAUUCUUGGUGUAGCGGUGAAAUGCGUAGAUAUCAAGAGGAACACCUGAGGUGAAGACGGGUUGCUGGGCUGACACUGACGCUGAGGCGCGAAAGCCAGGGGAG